UACGUAGGGGGCAAGCGUUGUCCGGAUUUAUUGGGCGUAAAGAGCGUGUAGGCGGUUUGGUAGGUCCGCUGUGAAAACUCGAGGCUCAACCUCGAGACGCCGGUGGAAACCAUCAGGCUAGAGUCCGGAAGAGGAGAGUGGAAUUCCUGGAUGUAGCGGUGAAAUGCGCAGAUAUCAGGAGGAACACCAGUGGCGAAGGCGGUGCUCUGGGCCGGAACUGACGCUGAGGAGCGAAAGCGUGGGGAGCAAACAGG
rnacentral:rRNA from 1 species